GGAGCAAAAGGAGGAAUCCGCCCGAGGAGGGGCUCGUGUCUGAUUAGCUAGUUGGUGAGGCAAUAGCUUACCAAGGCGAUGAUCAGUAGUUGGUCCGAGAGGAUGAUCAACCACACUGAACUGAGACACGGCCCAGACUCCUACGGGAA
rnacentral:ncRNA from 1 species